rnacentral:rRNA from 1 species
AGAGUUUGAUCAUGGCUCAGGAUGAACGCUGGCGGCGUGCUUAAUACAUGCAAGUCGAACGAAGCCCCUUUUCUUCGGACGAGGGUGCUUAGUGGCGAACGGGUGAGUAACGCGUUGGUAACCUGCCCCAAAGUGGGGGAUAACAGUUCGAAAGGACUGCUAAUACCCCAUGUGAUCAUCAGGAUUAGAUGCUUGAUGAUGAAAGGAGUAAUCCGCUUUGGGAGGGGCCUGCGUCCCAUCAGCUAGUUGGUAGGGUAAUGGCCUACCAAGGCUUUGACGGGUAGGGGACCUGAGAGGGUGGCCCCCCACACUGGCACUGAAACACGGGCCAGACACCUACGGGUGGCAGCAGUAGGGAAUAUUGGACAAUGGGCGAAAGCCUGAUCCAGCAACGCCGCGUGCGCGAUGACGGCCUUCGGGUUGUAAAGCGCUUUUAGGGGAGAUGAGAAAGGACAGUAUCCCCUGAAUAAGCCUCGGCGAACUACGUGCCAGCAGCCGCGGUAAAACGUAGGAGGCAAGCGUUAUCCGGAUUUAUUGGGCGUAAAGCGCGUGCAGGCGGCUUGGUAAGUUGGAUGUGAAAGCUCCUGGCUUAACUAGGAGAGGUCGUUCAAUACUAUCAAGCUAGAGAAUGGGAGAGGGAAGUGGAAUUCCGGGUGUAGUGGUGAAAUGCGUAGAUAUCCGGAGGAACACCAGUGGCGAAAGCGGCUUCCUGGACCAUUUCUGACGCUAAGACGCGAAAGCUAGGGGAGCAAACGGGAUUAGAGACCCCGGUAGUCCUAGCUGUAAACGAUGUAGACUUGGCGUUGGCGGAGUUAAAUCUGCCAGUGCCGGAGCUAACGCGUUAAGUCUACCGCCUGGGGACUACGACCGCAAGGUUAAAACUCAAAGGAAUUGACGGGGACCCGCACAAGCAGCGGAGCGUGUGGUUUAAUUCGAUGCUACACGAAGAACCUUACCAGGGUUUGACAUGCAAGUGGAGGAAUCCGAAAGGUGACCGCCCUUCGGGGAGCUUGCACAGGUGCUGCAUGGCUGUCGUCAGCUCGUGUCGUGAGAUGUUCGGUUAAGUCCGCUAACGAGCGCAACCCUCACUGUGUGUUACAUGUGUCACACGGGACUGCCGGUUUUAAGCCGGAGGAAGGUGGGGAUGACGUCAAGUCAGCAUGGCCUUUAUAUCCUGGGCUACACACACGCUACAAUGGUCGGUACAAUAGGUUGCCAAGCCGCGAGGCGGAGCCAAUCCAUAAAGCCGGCCUCAGUUCAGAUUGUAGGCUGCAACUCGCCUGCAUGAAGAUGGAGUUGCUAGUAACCGCAGGUCAGCAAUACUGCGGUGAAUACGUUCCCGGGUCUUGUACACACC